rnacentral:misc_RNA from 1 species
UGCGCUGAGCCCACUUCCCACUUGAGACGAAAGCUGGACGAAGGAAGAGAAAUAGACCAGAGAAAAUGUCGAGAUACACAAGGCCACCAAAUACUUCUCUGUACAUCAGAAAUGUCCCUGAUACUACGAGACCAGAUGAGUUGCGAAGUUUGUUUGGCAAAUAUGGACCCAUAAGUGAUGUUUAUGUCCCUGUGGAUUAUCACACAAGAAGAGCCCGAGGAUUUGCGUACAUACAAUUUGAGGAUGCCAGAGAUGCUGAUGAUGCAUUGUACCAUCUGGACAGAACACGCUUCUAUGGCAGAGAGCUGGAGAUCGAGUUUGCUAGAGGUGAUAGAAAAACUCCGAAUCAGAUGAGGAACAAGGAACGAGUGCGCCGCUCCCCGUAUGGUCGAAGCUAUUACGAUGACUAUGACCGAGGCAGUCGCUACAGGUCCAGAAGUCGUAGUCCAAGGAGAUCGAGAAGCAGGAGUCCAAGGAGAAGGAGGUCUCGCAGCAGAUCCUAUGAACGGAGAGGUUUUUCAUCCCGAUAUUCAAGCAGACGGUCACGAUCCUUCAGUCGCUCCAUGUCACGAGGAAAGUCUCCUGGCGGCAUCAGUAGGAGUCCAUCAAGUGACAACUGAGCAUCUUAUUUCAUUGUUGAUCGUUUCUUCAAGAUGAAUAAGCUUCAUGUACAUUUUUAGCAUCUAGUAUCAUUAUCUGUAAAUAUGUCCAGUCUGUUUUCUGUGUACACACUUGAAAUGCUUCUGUCAUAUUUUCUACACAAGUCUCUAGUGGUGUUACAUCCGAGGAACUGAAGUUGAUAUGCUCCUUGUAAAUAUAUCUUAGGACUGAUGUUGUUGAAACAACUAGUUUCACUUAUGUUCUCCUAUUGUUGAGUUUUCGAGCUGCUUUAGAC